rnacentral:rRNA from 1 species
GAUGAACGCUGGCGGCGUGCCUAACACAUGCAAGUCGAGCGAGAUCUUCUGGAACGAAACUUCGGUCUAGCGAAGGAAGUGGAAGCGGCGGACGGGUGAGUAACGCGUAGGCAACCUGCCCCAUACAGAGGGAUAGCCUCGGGAAACCGGGAUUAAAACCUCAUAACGCGAUCUGGUCACAUGGCCGGAUCGCCAAAGAUUUAUCGGUAUGGGAUGGGCCUGCGUCUGAUUAGCUAGUUGGUGAGGUAACGGCUCACCAAGGCGACGAUCAGUAGCCGACCUGAGAGGGUAAUCGGCCACAUUGGAACUGAGACACGGUCCAAACUCCUACGGGAGGCAGCAGUGGGGAAUAUUGCACAAUGGGCGAAAGCCUGAUGCAGCAACGCCGCGUGAGUGAUGAAGGCCUUUGGGUCGUAAAGCUCUGUCCUAAGGGAAGAAACAAAUGACGGUACCUUAGGAGGAAGCCCCGGCUAACUACGUGCCAGCCGCCGCGGUAACAC